GACAUUUGCAGACUCCAGUUAUUACCCCUAACCCUAUGGCUUUUCCUCCAAAAAAUAUUAUGAUUGUGAAUUAAUCGUGUUAAAAAUGUUGGUGGGUCCAAAAUGAAUGUUUUGUUUGUCUCUGUGGAAGAUAUCUGACGUUUCGUUCCCACUUCUAACAAGGCGUGUGAGUCAAUAGUAAAACAAUGUUGGUAUCACGCAGUAUCUCUGUGUCGUCAGCGAUCAAGUUGCGAGUUAGUGUGGAAAGAAAUGGUAAAAUGGCUGAGUUUGACU